ensembl:lncRNA WT1-AS WT1 antisense RNA
GGCACUUUUAGCGGGGGGAGAGGAGGUUAUCUGAAGGGAGGCUGGCUUGAAUGUGAGUCGUUGUGUUUGUGAAACCCAGAAUCCUUGUGGGGGCGGGGAGGGGAAGAGCACCGGUGCGAACCCCGGGGUGCCCCCUCGCCCGACUUGGACUUCUCCGACUAAAGAGGUGGGAGGAGUUCCCUGCAGCCUGCGGGGCCAAGAAGAAAGUGCUAAGCUGAGGAGCCGCAGUCGGAGGACCCCAGGGACCCGACAGGAAGUCUCCGUACGACCCCAACGGAUCCACAUGCCCGGAAGCCCAGGCGACACUAAGCCAGCGCUGGGGAACUGACGUACUCCUGCAGUCGCAGGGCGCUCCAUGCCUCUCUGUCCUCUUCUUUGUUGUGGGUAACGUUCUCUGCGGGAGACCUGAGGUUUUCCAAGGGGGACAUGCCAGCUACACUGGCCUUGGCGCCCUGAGCUAAGCACCAGGACUCACAGCCUAGCACGAAGGCAGGUAGCACCUUCACCCGCCGCGGACGAUAGGCGCUCUCCUGUACCUCCUUUAGCUCGCGAGGCCCGCCC